GAUACGCGAGGAACCUUACCCGGGCUUGAAUUGCAGGUGCAUGAGUGAGAGAUCAUUCUUUCCUUCGGGACUCCUGUGAAGGUGCUGCAUGGUUGUCGUCAGCUCGUGCCGUGAGGUGUCGGCUUAAGUGCCAUAACGAGCGCAACCCUUUUCCUCAGUUGCCAUCAGGUCAUGCCGGGGACUCAUGGGAGACUGCCGGGGUCAACUCGGAGGAAGGUGGGGACGACGUCAAAUCAUCAUGCCCCUUAUGUCUUGGGCUUCACGCAUGCUACAAUGGCCGGUACAAUGGGUUGCGAUACUGUGAGGUGGAGCUAAUCCCAAAAAGCCGGUCUCAGUUCGGAUUGGAGUCUGCAACUCGACCCCAUGAAGUCGGAGUCGCUAGUAAUCGCAGAUCAGCAACGCUGCGGUGAAUACGUUCCCGGGCCUUGUACAC
rnacentral:rRNA from 1 species